rnacentral:rRNA from 1 species
UACGAAGGGGGCUAGCGUUGCUCGGAAUCACUGGGCGUAAAGGGUGCGUAGGCGGGUCUUAAGUCAGGGGUGAAAUCCUGGAGCUCAACUCCAGAACUGCCUUUGAUACUGAAGAUCUUGAGUUCGGGAGAGGUGAGUGGAACUGCGAGUGUAGAGGUGAAAUUCGUAGAUAUUCGCAAGAACACCAGUGGCGAAGGCGGCUCACUGGCCCGAUACUGACGCUGAUGCACGAAAGCGUAGGGAGCAAACAGG